GUUACAGACAGCAUGGAAAACUGAAGACAAGGUAGGAAGUGCAAAAAAGCGAAUAUGACACAACUCUGCAUAGAGAAAAUGGGUGGGGAAAAGGGCAAAAUGCUAAGAGAUAUUUCCAUUAUCUUCUACAAACUGUUUGUUCUUGCACAUUCUUUGGCUUUAUUAUUCUGCUCUGACACAAAAAUGUAGCCCUUGUGUUAGGUUGAGAAACAUGCAAUUUUCUGACUUCACAGAUAAGAGAUUUUGUGAACUUUGUCUCAUUCAGCAAAACAGCAGAAAGUCUGAGAGAUUUACAAGGGUUCAGAAUCAAGGAAGUACCCCUUCUCUGCUUAUGAUAUCAUCAAGUAGGAACAAACAAUACACAUUACCUAGUAAGCUGCAAACAUCUGGUAGGAGCUGUGGUCUGGGAAAUUUCACAUAGCAGGUAAUUUUUUCAUUUAUGCUUUCAUGAAUAUAGUGCAACAUUAGGAGUACUGAGUUACAAAUAUUGAGGCUUAAGAUGGGAGGGAGAGAUAUUUCAUAAGGUGAAUAAAAUUUUAAAACUUAAGGGCAUUUCUAGGCCUGUCCACAGAUAUAUCAUUCUCUUCCAGAGUUAUUCUGUAAGAUUUUUUUGAAAUAUUUUUCAUGACAGAUCCUGAUAAUUCAUCUUAAUGCAGCAGCAUAAAAGAGACAAGACAGAGUUCAACUUAAAUUAAUUUUUUAUUAAAAAUUAAUUGACUUUUAAGGCCAGAAGGGAUCAUUGUGAUCAUCUAAUCUGACCUAUCGCAAGCCAUAAAAUUUUAGCCAGUAAUUUCUACUUUAAGACUGAUACCUGCAUAUAAACUAUACUUUCAUAUAGGUAAUCUUUCUUUAAAGCAACCAAGUAGUGGAGAUGCUGAUGCAUUCUUUGAUAAGGUAUUUCAUUAUCACAGAUGAAGCAGCUCUCAUUUGAUGGGGUCAUGACUGAUGCAGCCAGUGGAAAACGACUCUUGAAUUAGCAGUGGUUAUUCUGAUUGAUGCAUGGAAUAUGUUUAUAUGUGUGUGUGGACUCAUCGACCACGCAUUGCUGCCAACCAAGCUUAGUCUGCAUUUUCUGGACUUUCAGAGCUAAAAGUGCUAGAAACAGUUCCAGAGCUUAUGCAUAUACAUAUACGAAUGCACCAAGCAUGAUGGGUCAAAAACUGUUGAAGAUGUCACUAAAAGCAUAUACCUUAGUUCUAGAAAAGAUUUCUAUCAGCAAAUCACUGAGUUCAGUGUGAAUUGGAUGCUGAAGUCUGUCUAUACAAACCAUUUCCUUUACAGGUUAAUGCUUGUGUCUCCCUGUGGGAAAUAAUAGUUUUGGUGGGACAGUUGACCUACUGUUGACCCAGCUUUGAAGGCAUCUGUGUUUAUACCAGCAUGUUAUCCAAGUCCAAUUGAAGUGGUGAUCGUUGGCUUGGGAAGAGGGAGAAUUUUUUGUCAAAAAAGCCCACCUAAUUCAUACAAAGCCUUAUGUAGUCAGAUGUAACUCAAGCUAUGAUAUUUUUAUUCAUUUUCAAUGACUGACUGCUGGCUUCUUUUUGACAUUUAAGAUCUCCAAAUGCCAGCCACUUUAGUUGUGAUCUGCAGCGGUUCUCGUCUCAGUGAUUGAACUUCACUCUAUUGAACAUGGCUGCACAUAAAGGGCUGCAUCGAAACAUGCUAUUAUAUGUGUCAAGUUGGAAGGAGAAGGAAGUAUUUUCCUCUGCUUUUUGUUUCCAGAGUAUGAUGCACAAACAACUCUUCUACCAAUUGUUUCACUUCUUUCUUCUUUAUUCCCUGGCAGGAUAAACUUGGGCUUUGAGGACCGGGUUGACAAAUAAGUGCAGCAACUAGGAAGCCACUAAGGCAGUUCAGUGUUAUCAUUGUAUGACAGUGACAAUGUUUGGAAGCUCCUGGUGAUACUUUGUGUAGAAUUCUCACCUUCCAGUUGUAAAAAUGCAAUAGGUAGCUCAACCACAAAGAGAUUGCCCACUAGGCAUUCAGAGACUUAAAGAAGAGCUCCUAAUUUUUUUUUCCCCAUUUAUCACAGGAAGUGUGUGUGCACAUGUUCAAACACCAGGUACAGACUUGAUGGCUGCAUUAUAUGUAUAAGGCCCUUCUGUCCCUCUCACUGCUUUUUUUCCCCAGUAAAUCUGACUUAUAUGGCCAUGACAGUAUGGGCUGUAAUUCUGAAAUGUCAGUUUGUUUUUUUUUUUUUUUUUAAAUGCUGCUGGUCUUUAGAUUGACCAUACUUUUCAUAGGUGAUCAUUAAUUUCUUUAAUAUGAAGGCUUAUUGUUAUCCUCUUUACGCAGGUGGAGUGGUGCUCAGUGAAGGAGAGGUACAGUGAGAUUAUGAUCCAAGUACCUGUUAAUUUGUGUGUGGCAUAUGAGAAACUCAAGGCCUGUUUUUUCAGGGAUUAACAUUGAUAGAAGCUGGACUUAAACAUAUUUGCUUUGGUCGUUUUUCAGAAUCUGCAUCCUCAGGUGGUACAUCUGGAGGUGAGACUACUGCCAGUGACCAGCUGUUGGCCAGAGUGCCUCAUCCCCUCUGAUGGAGUGGGGUGGGAAAUCUGUGUCAGAGCAGAGAAGGACUUUGCCAGGCCAGGCUUGAGUUAAAAAACCUUAACAAAGAGACCACAUAACAUCUCUUCCAGCAUUUCCUGCCUGCCAGCACUUUCACUUUCUAGCACAAGUUUGACAGAGUUUAUUACACCCCACAGACAUCUUAGUCAUGCCUAGAUUUUUUUUGAUAAAUGAAAGAGAUACUAUCCUGUAGAAAAACAAAACAAACAAACACAAAAAUCCCAAACCACUACAUUAAAGGCAAUAGUAAUGCCAACAGAAAUGUUGACUUCAUGGUCAAAAGGAACAAAAAUGGCUCAUGUUUAACAGAGGUGUGGUAGCUGCAGAGCAAUGCGUGUACCACAGUACUGUAGCCAAAGCUUUCUCAUCCUUUCUAAUACUGUAAAUCCUACAUUUUGGGAAAUUGUAGAUUCAAUAGCAAUUGCAAUCUGGGAAUUGUGGCCUUGUGUGUGUGUGUAGGGGUCAGCUGACCUCCUGAGUUAACCUGACUUUGGUAAAGCUGUGCUUGUGCUGUUGGUGCCACACACUUCCUAAACCCAGAAGGUGUACAUGACCGGCUCCUCAGGAAUGCAGGGCAAGCCAUGAGAAGAAUCAAGAGGCUGACACUGUAAUGCAGAGGUAAGUGUUUUUGAUCUACAUUUCUGUCAUGCAGCUCCAGCCACAUUUUUGCUCUCUUUUCCCUUCCUCAGACUGUGUCAGGAGAAUAUUAUGGUGUCUCAGCCUUAGAAAAUAUCCUCAAGGAUACCAUCAGCUAAAGUUUCUAUGCCUUAUAAAAAGUAGAUGAACGGAAGUCCCAGAGCCACUUAUUACUUUCUUUAAUCCUUUGGAAACAUAACUGCAAAAUUUUUUUAUCAUUUAUUUAAAAUGUGCCUGUGAGUUAAAUACAGCAACAUCCCAGGAAAAGAAAAGAGCAGCAGUUGUUCAGACUUCCUUGGCACAGGGUUUUGUCCCUGAGCUUGACAGGACUUCCUUUAGGGAUUAAAGCUUAGAGGAGGAAAGGAUCAGUGUAAUACACAGGAAAAAGUGACUUGAAUACACCCUGUGCUUAUGCAACAUGAACAAAAUACCUCCCUGCUAUGAAAGACUCUCAAUCUAAAUAAAGAGAGAAGAAUAAGCAGGAUGAUCUCCUUUGAUUAUCUCUGUCUCCUGUGGACAAAAUAAUGUGCAAUUCUCAUGGGGGUUGGUUGGCUUUCUAGAUGGGCUCUGGUCUGCCUGUUUGAAUGCACGGACUGAGGCUCCUUGGGCACUAUUAAACUGGUGGAAAUUAAGGACUUGAUUAAAAAGAGCAUGGACCUCCUGGAAGUUGACUGUAAUUCACUUCCUUGCUGUGACUUUCAGUGCUGUCAUAGGGGAUUCAACAGAGGUGAGGUUGUACUGAAGGGUUUUGCCUGGGUUAUCCUUGACCCUGUUUGACACUCUGAAGCAUGCAAGACAUGGUAAGUUCUUACAGGGUCCUGGAGAGUGAGACCAUCAGGAUCACAAUAUGUUUUGGACACACAAAGUCAUAAUUUCUGCCCUUCAGAAAAAAAGAACGUUGGAAUUAGUUUAAUAAAAUAGGUUAAAAAAUGAACUAGUGAAUAUUUUUUGCUUCACAAAUGAUAUGUAAGCAAGGCAAAGCCAUACUUUGAUUUAAAGCCAUAUGACCAUGCUUGCAUAAUAUACAGUUUGAGCUAUCUCACUUUGGAUAAAUCAGGGUUUAGUGGCACAAUAUUGCAACUAUUUGUAAAGGCAGUCAAAUGGCUUGAAGUCAGAUCACGGACUUCUUAAUCCCAAAAAAUCUGUUAAAAUGUGUGUUGAAAUUUCACCCAAAUGAAGGUUUCAUCUCAAGCUGCAUGUCCAGAGGAUGCAGCAAAAUCACACAGAAACACAGUCUGCCAAAUCCUUUGGUCCAUGUUUUUCUUGUGUUUGCUUGUGCUUGCUUUCCUUGUUUUCCCAUGUUUGCCUCCUUGCCAUCUCCCACACAAUACCUCCUUCCAUGGGGCAUUACAUAGUGAUGCCUGACACUUGAUCUACGAUGUAUAUACACGUUUCUGGAGUGACAUAUCCCAUGAGAUACCCUGGCCCUUGAGGCAGGCUGAGUGCUGGCCACUCAUUCUAUUUUCCCAGCAAAAAAAUUCAAUUUUGCAGAAACACUGUUUUCUAUUGAAAAAUCAUUUUGACAGCAAUAUUCCAAAGAGCCUCACCAGUCAGCUUUAUGUGCAGGAAAAUGAAGUUAAUAAUAGGACAAAGCUCACCUAGCGAACAGGGGAAAGAAAUGUAAGCAGUGUGGCUCAGGACAGACUGCUGAGUAUUGAUUGUUUGGGAUAAGAAACAAAUAAUAAUAAUAAUCUGUUAGCCACAAGAGGAAUAGAUAGAAUGCUCUCUUUUUGUAAGGAUGUCUCCUGGAGCUGAGAUGUAAAGCAGAGAAACCUUACAAGUGUCUGUCAACUAGCUCAACAGAAAUAAGAUGUAUCUUCUGAUAGCAGCAGCAGACUGUCAGCUGUGUGACAGGCUCUGAAUAAAUUGCUAUUUUCCAAAGGUUUCUUCAAGAACAGAAACAUAAAAGCAAAAGAGAAGAAUACAAACAAAAAUCCUCCACACACAGUCUCCUUAUCACCUGUGCCUGAUUUUUAAGUGGGAAAUACUACUUCUGAAUAAAUGUACUUCUGUGUCUGAUGUCUCUUAGAAUCUCUGAAUUUAUUAUCAGUACCUCUGCAAGCUGACCAAGCCCAACAGCAAAGGCUAGACCCUGCUCUUCACUCUUGGAUACGUGUCAUUUCUUCUGGGUCAUCCACAGCAUGGGGGAAAGAAUAAACUAGUAACAGCCUGAGCCCUGGAAGGAGGGUAAAGCUGACCUCAUUUGUGCAGAAUUUCUUUUUGACUGGACCUCCAAGGAGGUUAAAAGGAUUAAUAAAUUACAAAGCUGUUGGGUCCCACAAGACGAAAUGCUGGAAGAAGUGGGAUCAUAACUCACAUUACCCUUGCUCUGUUUCUAUAACCAGGCUCUUGCUUAGCUUUUCCUUCUUAUGUCUUCUGCCUCCUCAUGCAGGGUUCAAACUUCUUGUACAUUUUUAUCCCUUUCCACCAACUUCUUGUCUUGAGGCUGUCUGUCAAUGCAUGCCUGAGAUCCUGGUCAAACCUCUGAUAUCCCUUUCUUGUCACCACUCGCACUGAUCUCCUUACCUGACCUUUUCCAGGCUGUUUCCCCUCACAUCGUUCCAGACCCAGUCUCCUCGUCCUCCUCCACUCGGCUUGCUGGUUCCUGUACUGCAGGCUCAAUAAUAACACACAAGGACUGUGAGCUGGAAACACUGAUCGUGGAGAAUCAUUUCAAGAGCUGCUGUUACAUGUGCUGCAAGUGAACAGGAGAACCCUCUGCCAUCUCCUCCACGCUGAUUUUUCUCCACUGUUGAUAUUUUUAGUUCUAGUGUCAGUGGUGUGCAGAUACAGAGCUAUCCCCAAGCAACUAGUUUUGGCAUUGAAUGCAGUUUAAUCAUGUCAGCAGAGAUUUCCCAGCUUGAUUAGCCUGUCAGUUAGUUUAGACAGACUGCCAGAAAAAUGGGGCCAUACUGCCUCCCACACCCAAGCUGGGCUACUGAGAGCUAGCUCAGGUAGACCCACAAAGGGCUCAAUUUGUUCAGUUUGAACACCAACUCUGCCUUCAGAGCUUGGCAAUUUGUUUUCUUUCCAUGACACCUGAAAAGGGCACUUACAGGGUAAAAGUGGAAAGUCUCCCUGUUUUAGUCUCUAAUGUCCAGUCUGUAUUAUCCCACAGCAAUAGCUGAAGGGCAAACCUUCCUCAUUUUCAGGCUGCAGCAUUGUCAGCAGGGCAAGAAAUCCCUCCUCUUCUUUGGCCUUUGUAUCCAAGACUUAUUGCAUUAAGUACAGCCUGUGUUCUGCUCUGCAGUUGGAAGUGCUGGGUAUGCUGUUUGGAUGCAAGUUUCUCAAUGACCAGGUUAACCUUUCGUCUUCUGAACUGGCAUAAGGCACAAGCUGACUGACAAUGCCGUGGCAAUAAUCUCAGAAGUGCGUUGGGUUACCCACAUUUACCCACCGAGUUGCUGAAUGACAGGCAGCAAAUCACUUCCUCGCUGGUGCCUCAGUUUCUCUUGCCCUGCACCGGAGGUUUACAGCUGUACCACUCCCUGGGACACCCUGCAGCUGAGCACUGCUGAGAUGGGAAACAGCAGCUCAGGGCAGGUAUGUAAAAAUCCUCUGGUAAUUCACAACAAAGAGGACAUUUAAAGGUAUUUUUGCAUUUUCCCUGUGUUGGGUUGUAAUUUGUAUCUGUAGGAAAGUAAGAUAUAACAGUAUCUGGUUCUCUAAUCAGUAUUGUGGGUAUAGGCAGUCCUCAUUCUGGCAAGUGCCUGUGGAAGGUGUACAUCUGCUGUGAGCACAGACAGAGCACCAGAAAUGUGUCCAAGUGGGAUGAGAUGUGGUUUCAAAAGCAGAUGCAUGGUGGGAACCUGUCUUUUGCUUCUAAUAGUUUUGGAGUCAAGAACCAUCUGUGACUCCAGUUAGAAUGACAACGAAAGAAGAAAAAAAAAAAGAAAGGAGAGGGAACAGGAAUUAAAACUGUAAAAACUCUUAAAAACAUUUAUCUGACAGCCUGUUAAUCAUUUAUCUGCCACCAAGUGACGACUUGCACGUCCUUUUCCUACGUUUAAUGCUUAAGUCCAAUAGUGAAAGUUGCUUUAUUUUUCUUUUGUGUGUGAAAGUUGCUUUAUUUUUCUUUUGUGUAUGGACUUAAAAGGGAUACUAAAACCUCCUCAUGUGACUGUGGAAUCACAGAGUUGUUCAUUUUACUUUUGUCUGCACGUGUGUGUGUGUGUGUGUGUGUGUGCUGAAAACAAACAAAAAACAAAGACAAAACUCAUCAGUUAGGAUUGUAUUACUACAUAAUUUAAUAGUGUAUUGGGGUUAAGGGUGUCUGAAGAACUGUAGCAUAGCACUUUUUAUUCUGAUUUCUAUUAGAUUUGCUGUCCAUCCUCAGCUUCUAAAAUUAAAUGAUUUCACAACUUGUGUAUUUCCUAAGGGUCUGUCCAAUUUUGGUUUUCAAUGUUAUUUUGGCACUGCUGCUUUAUUGCCUAUUUUAUAUGGGAAAUAAUGACAGGCUGGCCUCAACAGUGAUCAGUGGCAAGACUCCUAGUGAUUUCAAGUUGCAACAGAGUUUAGCUUAAUGAAUUCAAUAACUUUUAGCAUGUCUCAGAUGUCUGGUAGUGCUAUUAUUAAUCAGUCUGCUGCCAGCUGCUUGGACAAUAGCUCCUUGUUCUUCAUAGCCUGUUGCUUAAUCAAGAAAGUAUUGUUGCCUGAGAACUUGGCAAGGACUUUAAGCCAGAUUCAGAUUUCAUUUACUUCUGUGUGAACUUUGAGAAAUGGUGUGGACAUUAGUGGUGUUGUUCUGGGUUUGCAUCUGUAUAAAUUUGAUCAGUAUAUGGCUCUUCUGUUUUUAAAAUUUGUCUCAAGACAUUUGUCACAUUCACAGGGAGCUUUUACAGCGAGCUCUCUAGCACUAAAAAAACCUCUUUGCUGUGGGUGCAUGCAUGUGUGUGGAUGUGCAUGUGUUUGUGCAUGUUGCAUAGAGCACUAAAUCUUACCCUUUUCACUCGCCUGGUCCCUAUGGGCCAACACAAUACUAAUUACCUUGGAAAAUGAUUGAUGUUUGUGUUAAGGCCAAUAUGCAGGGGGAAUGUGUGUUAUAAUUCUCCAUUCUUUAAUUUAUCUCCUGUUAACAGCUGAUUGCUGCCUUGCACAGGGGAUUGUGAAAAGCUUUACCAAAGAAAAUAUUUGGAUACAUGCAAAUUUGAAUCACAAUUGCAUGAUUGAAAGGUCUUUUAUUUUGUUCAGCUUUUUGUUUUUUAUUUCCCCACAAUAUUAUUUGAUUGCAUUCAUGUUGGCCAAUCUGAGAGAGACCUUUCAGAGAGCUGCCAAGUGGAUGGGAAAUGGCUAUGAAAGUGCAACCAAGUGAAGAGGUGAAUUAAGUCUGUUAAAACAUUUAAACAGCCAGUGGUGAAAAAAAAAUAACUGUCCAUUUAAUCCUUCAUGCUGGUGAGCACACACUGCAGGUCAAAUAAUAUUAAAAAACAGAGUUCACUUAUACAUACAGGACUAUAUUAUUUCUGUCCCUAAUAUCCAACACAGCUCUCUGUUAAGUUUUGAUUAUAAAGGUGGGAUGUUAGAUGUGGUGUCACCAGCUCACUCUGUUGCUAACAGGAAGAGGGAGAAAGGAGUUAACUGGACUCUGUCUCCUUGAACUUCCAAACUUUGCACAGUCCCCUUCCUUCCUAAACCCACUAGCCACCUGUUUCUUGAUCUGUCUGGAAACUCUAUUAACUGUUCCUCUAAAGCCUGUAAAUUCUCACAAGGUGCUACCUUUAUCAUACAGAAACAAAGAGAAGGCGCAUAGAAGAAUCAGAAGUUUUACUCAUCAAAAAACUUGGAUGAAUUCAAGUUCAUGCCUCCAGGCCAGUCAGAAGAUCCUUAACUGCUCAGACCACACCGAGCAAUAGCAUGCAGGUCUGGUUUUACCAAGUAAGAGUGUAGUCAGGUCUGGGUGAUAAAACAGUAUCUUUUUGCUGAAAUAGAGCCUUGAAGCUAUUUUGGCCUUCACACAAGGAGGCCUGGAUCUUUCUGUCUGGUUAUUGGAUAUAUAUUAUUUUGUUUGAAGGGUCAGAAGACAAGGGCAGAAAGCUAAUAUUUUUGCUUUUAGUGGUUUUCUGUAUUUCAAAGCAUUAAGAAAACAACCUGUUAUCCCUCCAACUUUUCAAUGAACAUAGAAUCUCUUUCAUCAUUCCUCUCCCUUGAGCAACUAGUCUGAAAUGAUUUUGGUUCACAGAAAAAAAAAGCAUGAGGGAUUACAAAGAGUAUCACUGAAGUGAUCCAGUGGCAAAACUUACAGCCCUAUCCACGGUUCACCCAACUGUAAGUGGAUCAUUCAGGCAGAUGAAUCAAAUGUAUCCAAAAUCCAGGACACAUCCUGUCAGCUCCAGUAGAUGAGGUGGACAGUGACACCUGCCCAGUGGGCCACCUAGACCUGAACACACUUCAGAUCAAAACUACACAGUUAUCACUUCCACAUCAAAUGCACCUAUAAUUACUUUAUAGUGCAACGACAUUAGAGAGCAAAUUUAGUAUUAUGAACAACAGUGGUGUGUGCUAUGCUUUAGCUAUUGGGCUGAAUCCUGUAAAUGUUCCACAUGAGAAAAUCUCAUUAUAAUUAAUGGCAGUAUUUUUGUUAUAAACAUAUUUACUACUCUCUUGUGGUUGACAUUUUUUAAAGUGUUUCACUUUGGUUUUGCUGUUCAGUAGUAAGGAUUUUCUUUUCCAAAACUGUUCACAUGGAGGUGAUGGAGUUACACAAAUGUUUUAAAUAAAUAAGCUUUUCAUAGCAACAGAACAGCAUAGAAUCAAAAAAGACAAGUGGUACCAGCUUUGUGGAUUUAACAGCUAACCUAAUUCUUUUGCUUGCUCACCAGGCUGGCCUCUACCAUUUCAAUCUCUUCUCUCUUUUUCAGUUAGUCAUAUUUAAGGUGCUUUGUUUCCUCUUGCUACCUUUCUGUGGCUCUUUAGGGGUGCCUCAUGGAGUUUCAGGGUUGGUUCUGUGCUUAUUAUACAUCUGAUAAUCCUUUAUCUUUUUGGAAAAUGUCAAUUAGUUCUACUGAAGCUGCUCUUGAGGAAAUGACCUUUUAAUGAAUUUACUAUCCUCACUCCCACAAAAAAGUCCUGAAUUAGCCCUAGCCUCUUCUUUUCUAUUUUUUAAAUAAAAAAGUUCAAUGUUUAGGUCAAAAAUUCAGUCACAACUGAAUUUUUCAGUUAAUGUAAAAAAUGGUAAAUCUUAAAAAUUACAGAUUUAGAAAAAACUUUUUUCUUAACCAAUACAAUUUAAGAGUUUUACAUCACUUGCAUACAAAUUUUUGUGGCUCUUCCAAUUUUAGAGUAAUAAAAUAGAAAGUACUUUUAUUAUUAUGCAUGUUAGAAAUAUUAAUAACUAAAUUCUGCUUAGUUAUUCACGGGACUAUUUCCUUCUGACUGCACAGAAAUGCAAUGACAGUUUCUCAUUGCUUCAGUCUUUAAACUGUAUUUUUGUUUUAGGAAUGACAUAAGUCACAACUAUUACUACUUGUCUUGUUUUCUCAGAUGUAUCAUUUUGUACUUUUUCCUACCUGUGUAAUUAAUAGUCAACAUACACCAGUGAAUAUGUUUACUGCCAAUGACUUUGAGGUGAAAUAGUUUAUAUCUCCUGCAGAACAGAUAUUAUGUUAUUCAGUUCUGAAAACCAAGUGACUUCAGGAGAAUAAGAAGAUGGGUGGGAAACAUAUUUUCCAAUAGAUACAAAUCCAAAUAUCUAAGUGGAACAUGUACAAGGUCUCCUGAGAGAUAUUUAUAUUAUAGCUACAGGAGGAAAAGCAAUAAAGGGAACACUUUAGCGGUGUUGAAACAAUCUGUCACAGAACAGACAGGAGGCUCUUGGCAUACCUGCAGAUAUGUUUCCUUCAUCUACUCAUGUAAUUCCCAGGAUCCUCCUCCUCCUCUAUGCUAUUGAUUUCUGUACUAUUUCUUUGAUAGAUACAGGCAACUCAUGAUACUCUGUCAUUGCAUGUUUAUAACCUUGUCGUUUCAGCAUGGCAGAGAGUUAUAUUCAAGAUGAGGGUGAAUGGAAAGGUAAAUGGUUAAUUGUAUUGAAUAGAAUCCAACUAAUGUCUGAUAAAAUGAUGCCUCCUUGAUUCAUGACAUUCAAUCAUAGUAGAGAGAUAUUUCCUAACUUCAACAGGCAUUAGCUGUAUUUCUUCAAUCUGUCCUUCCACAAAACUGAAAACUGUGGGUUUUAGUCACUUUGUAUUAACAUGUAAUUGAACAAUACUGUGCUUAUUUCAACUAGCUAUUUACUUAUUUUCCUAAUCAUUCACAUCUAUUUUUUUCAGCAGCUCAGUAGACUAGAAACAGGAACAUAAAGCAGCUGUGGUAUCUUGCAUUUGUUUUGUUACUAUAAAAGGUGCAGUGGGUUUUUUUGUUUUUUUUUUUUUUUAAAGGCUGUGACUGUAAAUAUGAAAAACUUUUUGAAUCUGUGCUGUGCUAACAUUUAAGGCUGCAGAUAAUAUGGGGAAACACCUACCCAUGUGGAGAUUGUGCUGUGUUCAGCUUCUGCAGAGCUGAUUGUAAACUUUGAAUUUUUCUGGAGGAUGAAAGUGUUGAAAACAAGUUUCUUUACAAACAUCUCAGAGAACUUAAAACUUGGUAUAUGUUGCCAAAGCAUUUUUUUGUAUGUUUUUUUAAUUUUUUUUUCUUUCCAAAGAUCUGAUUAACAGGAAAUAUCAGGGAAUAUAAAAGCAUUUGCCACUUUUCACAAGCUCAUAUAGAAUUUUGGUUUUGCUGAUAAAGAAAUCAAAGCAAAUCAGAUCCAAAAGACUAUACUUUUCAGUGUACAUGAGAUAAGCACUAAAUUUCCACAAGAACAAUCCAGGUCAGCCAUUAGGUAAAAAAAUAACCAAAACAAAGUAAUAAAGGGAGUGCAGCACUAGAAUGGAUUGCCUAAAGAUGUGGUGCUUACAUCCUUGGAGGCCUUGAUUAGGCAAACAUCUGUUGGUACUGAUGCAAGUAUACAUGAUCCCCCUGUGAGCAGGAGAAUAGAUGAUCUUAUGAGGGCUUCUACCGCCACAUUGUUUCUAUAUCUAUGGUAAAUAUUUCUGUUCCUAAUUCUGAGGCACCUCAGAAUACAAACUGAAAUACAAAGUAAUCUAAAGCAGUUUAGGGAGUUUUGUCUUUUAAGGCCCAGGUAUAGGCAUCUAAUACAGCUACUGAAAGCCAUUUAGGUCUGCAAGCCAAAAUCAUGGUUUUCAAAUCUCUGCUUCAGCUGCAGUCUAGCUUUCAAGUACCUAACUUAAGUGUAUGAUAUUAAAGGUCCCUGCAGCACCUCAGUGUUGACUCCUGUGGAUGCUCAAAGGGUUUUCUACAUAAGUGAGUGUGGCAGCGUGGUGUCAGCUUGUCCCCAGUGCCUGCUGUCUGCCAUGUGCAAGGUGCUCCCCCCAACCACGUGUGAGUGAUAUUCUCAUGCCACGCUUACCAUCCCCGGCUCAACACAAGGUAUGGUGAUACAUGCUGUUUCUCUAUAAAGCCUAGCCAGAGAAGAAGACAUGAUGUUGCUCUGUUGAGAAAAACAAAAUAUUUAUGGCUCUGAACAGCACAGCAAAAAGAGUGGUAGGUCAAGCCAUGUUCAUACAGAGUGUUAGUGGGGCUUUAGAUGUUCUUCUCGUGAAGGAUGAUGUGUUUGGACAUCAGAGUGAUACCAAAGAUAUAUGACUUGCUAGUGGCAAAACUAAUGUCAUUUUUUCUGGGCAACAGUCUGAAGGAUCUGGCCAAGCUUGCCACUUGCUUAAUGCUCCCUGUUGAGAGGGUCUGCAAGGAGGUGAUGGCUGGUGCUGGAGAGGCUGGAGGGAGAGAGGUGUGUUAUGCAGAGCUGGCAUGGGGCAGCACGAAGGAUUGCCAGGGCUGGGAAGGUGGGAUUGUAUCUGGGAGAGCCCUGUGAAAAGGGGUGUAAUAGCAGAGAGAGAAAUGGCCGUCCUCUGCCUUCAACAUAGGAUAUUCCUGUCCUACCUCCCUAAAUUAACAGAAUAAGGGCACAGAGGAUUAUUUUUUCCUCACCUGGAAGUUCUUCAAAGAGCUAGUACAAUUUGUGUGCUUAAAGGAUCAGAGGACUUCCUCCUAACAGGACAGGUGCUUAAUAACACUGGCGGAGUACAGCUGCAGUGAUUCAUCUUCAGCUAACUAGAUCCAUCCAGAGAAGUGGCAGUCUGGAUGUCACCUGGAAAACAAGCCUGCAGGGCAAAUGACUAGGCUGAUUGCUAGUGCUGAGCUCCAUGCUGUCACUGGUAAAUGGCUGCCAACUCCCAAACUGACUAAUUUAAGGCAAAUUUGGAUAUAACUGCCCUAGUCCAGUGAGUAGCAUGAAGACAUACACUGCAGGGUACAUCAUCUCACCAGAUGAGAACAGGAUCGGUUGACUGCUAGGUAGAAAACAACCAGCCAACACAUCUGUAUGCCUUUACUACAUCUGCCUCUUUAAACAUUCAAAUACAAGUUAUUAAUAUUAUUGAAGUUAUUAGAGCAAGCACUGUGUACUUGGACAAGAGAAAGAAACAAGAUUCAAUUUCCCACUCCGUUGAGAAAGUCGAGUAAUAAUUUGAACUUUUUAGUUUCUUAUCAUACUUAUAAUCUCAACUUGGCAGGAGCUAGGGGAAUGAUAGAUUUCAGAAGCUUUGUUUUGGGAAAACUGCUCUCAGCUCCUCUCCUUUCCUGCAAACACACACUGUUAGCUUCUAAAGACACCUAGGGCCAUUACUCAUUUUUCAGCUAUAUAAGGCUAUGUAGUCCGUAAUAUACUUAAGACACCUUAAUCUGUCAGAUGGUAAAUUUAACUUUAAAAUUAACAUAAUGCAUUAACAUAAAAACUUGACCUUCUGUCUCAAAAUGUACGACGUAAAAGAUGUGAUUGUGCUAAUAUCUUUUAAGGAUAUCAGCUACUUAAACAUCUUUAUUACCUUGUCUGUACAUACCUCAAACUAACAUAUUAACACAUUACUCGUUUUAUUGUUUUAUUAUCCCAUUAAUAAAACUAUAAGCCCUCUCAUGUUAAAGUCCUACAUUUAUUUCUGUUACAUAAACCCACAAGACUCUUAAUGAGAUUGGCCUUUCAGGAGCUAAUUUGUCUUUUAUUUGCAGUGAUAAGAUUGGAAUGCACAUGCCCAAGCUUCAUAACUGAGAUUAAUCUCCAGUUUUAGACAUUUUAGGCUGCUCUAUGCAAUCAGAUGGCCAUCAGUGAUUUGGCAUUUCUGUAUUUGUUGUCUGUAUCUAUCAGGUUUUCUAAGGUCCCUAAAGUCAAUGGUCUUCUUUCACACAUAUCAGACUUUUCACGCAUACCAUUCUCAUGCCUGUAUGUCUAAACACGCUUGCCCAGGCCUCACUGCAAGAUGUGUCAUGCCAAGUUCUUGCCCUUGUCAUCUACCAAGCUCUUACAUGUGUCUGGACCAUGACUAGCUCACAUUGGCAUGUUUAAACCAAAGAUCUGGAAGAGGGAACAAGGCUUCACCCUUGAUAACAAAGCACCAGUCUCAGAUGCACAGUUGUCCUUCUGGCCCCUGGCCAUCAGUACGGGUGAAAAGAAACAAGAGACAAGGACUUCAAUGGGACUUACCUGGUCAUCUCCCUCAAGGUCUUCCGUCAUUACCUCUUUUCCACCAUCAGCUAUGAAGGCGCUUAAGUGAAGCAAAUUUUGGGGCUGAGGAAGGUACAGGAAGAAGGUUUAAGAAGCAUUUGUCAAGCAAGCAGCUCAACUCUACCUCUUGCUGAUGGCAAGUAUUGUCUGUAGGUUUUGCUUUCCUGCUAUGCACAGCAACUGGUACUGAACCUUCACCCCAAUGGUAACUUGACUGACAGCAAUGGAGAAAAAGAUCUAUACAAGUAUUUGAAAAGAAAUACAACCAAAUCUGGAUACUUGAGAAGGGGAAGAAAUAGCAAAACAUUCCAGAUUUAUGAGGGCCCAUUAGGGGUAAUGCAAAGGUUUGCAUGAACAGUUAUAUAAUUUAGUGACUCUCAUGUGAUAUUCUGCAUUAUAUUUACAAUAGAAAGAGUGAACUGCACCCAACCGUAUUAAACAGAACUAUUUUUUAUCAUGGGUUGCUGGUGACAAUAUUACUCCAACAGCUUGUGCAUGUCAUCGGAACCCAGAGGUAAAAAAAUAUAGCACUCUUUGGGUGUAUUUUACUAUUUCACAAUAGUUGAAUAUCAUGACACCUAA